AAAACAAAAAUCACUGCUGGCAACAGAUGACCUCAGGAACGGUGGAGCCCACAAUGGCCUAUUGUUGGCUGGGGAAGGUGCGAUAACUAGAGGGAUACCUUUGAAAUGAACAAUCUUCCUGCAUCUAGCCUGUCCAACCCCUUAAGAAUUGUG